AGAAAGAAAAUAUGGAGGAAAGCUGAUAAAAAAAAUGAAGAAAUUAAAAAAGAAAUAAGAAAAAAAAAAUAGGACUAAUAGGGUGGGUUUUGAAGGCCCGUAGUUAUUUUAGUAGUUUCGAAAACCCACCACAAUGUGAUGCCAGGAAAAACUUUUUCAAGGCAUCUUAUUUCAAAACUUUAAAACAAACCUCGGCUUCCAAAAUGCAUAUCCAUUCCCAUCUCUGAAACCCUCCAACCAAACAUGUGCACGGGGUUUAUACUGUUUAUCGACAUGCUUAUUCAAAUGGACCAAAUUAUGCAAUUUGAGUAUACGAAGUUCAUACCCUUUGAUUUAAGUCAGGACUAUAAUUAUCUUCUAGACAUCUGAGUAUGGGUAUAAUAUUGAAGGCACACAAUAUUCUAGCAUAGCAGCUGAUCGAGAUUGUCUCCUUGAAUUAAAAAGGCAAACAAACAAACAAAAGGUAUAGGUACCCGUGUCGAUCAUCUACUUAAAAUUGACUUUUAAUUUGAAUAGUUUAGCAUACAAAUGUCUAACAAAAAUAAUUUGAGGUAACACUCAAUUAGUUGAUGUCCUAUAUGAACCAAGCCCAUCUUUUUAUCUCCAUGAAUCAUGAUAAAUUAUUUUAUUAACAUAGUUUAAAGACAAUUAAAAUUAUGUGGAUAUAUUGUUUAUGCAUGUGAUGAUUACUGGACACUGGGAUUAACCAUGCGAGUAAUGACAUAAAUGGGCAAAUUUAGAACCGGGCUUCAAAAUAUACCCUAUCUAUUUCUUUGCCGGAUAAAUGGCCAAACAACACAUUUAAACACUAAUUAAGAUUUAUGAAAUGAAUAAAAUACUCCUUAACAAAACAGCUAAUUGCAAUUCUAGAAUUAUGGAGUAAUUAAAGUGAGUCUCAAAUUCAAAACAAAACAACCCAAAUUUUAUAAAUCAAAGUUUAAUAAAUUUUAGGAUUCUAUGUUUAAGAAAUUUUCAUCCUAAAAAGAUACUUUCUAAAUCUAGACUAAAUAACUUUGCACUCCCAAGUCCAAAUAACUUUAUAGACUACAUAAUUUCAGAAUUAAUUAUCUUAACUGGGUGUCUCAAACACCACCUUAAAUCCUAACGAUCUUAUAUGCAAAAGUUAUGUCUUAAGUUCUUCCUUUUAUAUCUUUAGUUAAAGGUUUUAUGUUCAUCCCUACAUGUUAUCAAUUUGGUUUUUUGUGCAUCAAUAAAUUUUUUUAAUUCAGUCCCUUGGUGUUGGGGAAUCUUAAAGGCAAUUGAUAUAAAAUUGGAAGUGAACGAAAAAGUCAUAAGAAUUUUGGGAGAGGCUGAGACUAUGAGUGGUGAAGAAGGUCGACCUUUUUGGACAGCUGACCAGGUUUCUGCCGGAGGAGUUUGGAAAAUUUCGCCUAUUGAUCUAAAGCUUAAUGUUUGCCGCACAAUCAGCUGGAGAAACUCCAGUGCCUUGAUAUUUCUUCGAAUCUUUUGGAGUCACUUCCUGAUUCUAUCGGCCUAUUGGCUAAUUGAAGGUCGUCAACGUAUCAGGAAACAAACUGAACUUCCUGAAACCCUACUGGUUGCAGUUCGUUGGUGGAGUUGGAUGCAAGUUUCAACAAUCUGCGAAGUUUACCUAUAAGUAUUUGGAUAUGGAUUGGUUAAUCUUGAAUGGCUAUCAAUCCAGCUGAACAAGAUAUGUUACCUUCCUACAUCGAUGUCAGCUUAGGUCUCUAAGAUUUGGCCUGCCCCGGCCAUUGGAAGGUUAACGAGUCAUGAGGUGUUGAUUCUCAGUGGUAAUUUCAACAACUUGACUGAGGUUACUGAACCAACUAGUGAUCUCUGCAACCUAAGGGAGCUAGAUCUUAGUGAUAACCAGAUAAGAGCUCUUCCAGACAGAUUUGGCCGGCUGAAAAAACUAAUCAAGUUGAUUAUGGAUCAAAAUCCGCGUCUGAUUUCUCCAAUGGAAAUUGUUGACAAAGGGGCCCAAGCGGUGAAGGAAUUCAUGGACAUUGGAAGGGCGAUUUAGAUGCAGAAAAACAGAAGGCCAUGCAUGAAGCAAACAUGCCUGAAGAUCAGAGUGGAUGACUUACUUGGGGAUCCUCCAUGUUGUCUAACGUAACUUCUGGGGUUGUACAAACUAUUUCUGAAUAUACAGGAGGAAGGAACGAAACUUCCAAGGACCCAUGGUUGUAUCAAUAGUUGUGAGUGGUGGAUCGUAUGGUUUUCUUAUCAACCUGGAUUUCUAAGGAAAUUUGUGUAUAUUUGCAUGUAUAAUAAAUAUACACAUAUUUUGCUGCAAAUGCUACUGAACUGGAUACCUACAUGGUAUAAGAUUGGCUUCUAUUUCCAAAA